rnacentral:rRNA from 1 species
UACGAAGGGGGCGAGCGUUGUUCGGAUUUACUGGGCGUAAAGGGCGCGCAGGCGGUUCUGUUUGUCGAGUGUGAAAGCCCCGGGCUCAACCUGGGAACUGCGCUCGAAACGGCGGAACUAGAGUUCGGGAGAGGAGAGUGGAAUUCCCAGUGUAGAGGUGAAAUUCGUAGAUAUUAGGAAGAACACCAGUGGCGAAGGCGGCUCACUGGCCCGGUACUGACGCUGAGGCGCGAAAGCGUGGGGAGCAAACAGG